rnacentral:rRNA from 1 species
GACGAACGCUGGCGGCGUGCUUAACACAUGCAAGUCGAACGGAAAGGCCCUGCUUUUGUGGGGUGCUCGAGUGGCGAACGGGUGAGUAACACGUGAGUAACCUGCCCUUGACUUUGGGAUAACUUCAGGAAACUGGGGCUAAUACCGGAUAGGAGCUCCUGCUGCAUGGGGGGGGUUGGAAAGUUUCGGCGGUUGGGGAUGGACUCGCGGCUUAUCGGCUUGUUGGUGGGGUAGUGGCUUACCAAGGCUUUGACGGGUAGCCGGCCUGAGAGGGUGACCGGCCACAUUGGGACUGAGAUGCGGCCCAGACUCCUACGGGAGGCAGCAGUGGGGAAUAUUGCACAAUGGGCGGAAGCCUGAUGCAGCAACGCCGCGUGCGGGAUGACGGCCUUCGGGUUGUAAACCGCUUUCGCCUGUGACGAAGCGUGAGUGACGGUAAUGGGUAAAGAAGCACCGGCUAACUACGUG